UCCGUAGGGUGCGAUCGUUGUCCGGAAUUACUGGGUGUAAAGGGUGCGUAGGCGGGCGAGUGCGUCGGAGGUUAAAGGCAACGGCUUAACCGUUGAAAUGCCUUCGAAACGGCUUGUCUUGAAUGUGGGAGAGGAUGAUGGAAUUCCUGGUGUAGCGGUGAAAUGCGUAGAUAUCAGGAGGAACACCGGUGGCGAAGGCGGUCAUCUGGCCCACUAUUGACGCUGAGGCACGAAAGCGUGGGGAUCAAACAGG
rnacentral:rRNA from 1 species